CUCCAGACUCCUACGGGAGGCAGCAGUGAGGAAUAUUGGUCAAUGGGCGAGAGCCUGAACCAGCCAAGUCGCGUGAAGGAUGACGACCCUACGGGUUGUAAACUUCUUUUGUCAGGGAGCAAUUGAGUCCACGUGUGGGCUUAGCGAGAGUACCUGAAGAAAAAACAUCGGCUAACUCCGUGCCAGCAGCCGCGGUAAUACGGAGGAUGCGAGCGUUAUCCGGAUUUAUUGGGUUUAAAGGGUGCGUAGGCGGAAUAUCAAGUCAGCGGUAAAAAUUCGGGGCUCAACCCCGUCGUGCCGUUGAAACUGGGUGCCUUGAGUGGGCGAGAAGUACGCGGAAUGCGCGGUGUAGCGGUGAAAUGCAUAGAUAUCACGCAGAACUCCGAUUGCGAAGGCAGCGUACCGGCGCCCAACUGACGCUGAAGCACGAAGGCGUGGGUAUCGAACAGGAUUAGAUACCCGGGUAA
rnacentral:rRNA from 1 species